rnacentral:rRNA from 1 species
UGGGGAAUAUUGGACAAUGGGCGAAAGCCUGAUCCAGCAAUGCCGCGUGAGUGAUGAAGGCCUUAGGGUUGUAAAGCUCUUUCGGGUGGGACGAUGAUGACGGUACCACCAGAAGAAGCCCCGGCUAACUUCGUGCCAGCAGCCGCGGUAAUACGAAGGGGGCUAGCGUUGUUCGGAAUUACUGGGCGUAAAGCGCACGCAGGCGGCGUGAUAAAUUAGAAGUGAAAGCCCCGGGCUUAACCUGGGAAUUGCUUUUAAGACUGUCACGCUAGAAUCCAGAAGAGGGUAGUGGAAUUCCGAGUGUAGAGGUGAAAUUCGUAGAUAUUCGGAAGAACACCAGUGGCGAAGGCGACUACCUGGUCUGGCAUUGACGCUCAUGUGCGAAAGCGUGGGGAGCAAACAGGAUUAGAUACCCCUGUAGUCC